rnacentral:rRNA from 1 species
GACGAACGCUGGCGGCGUGCCUAAUACAUGCAAGUAGAACGCUGAAGGAGGAGCUUGCUUCUCUGGAUGAGUUGCGAACGGGUGAGUAACGCGUAGGUAACCUGCCUGGUAGCGGGGGAUAACUAUUGGAAACGAUAGCUAAUACCGCAUAAUAGUAGAUGUUGCAUGACAUUUGCUUAAAAGGUGCAAUUGCAUCACUACCAGAUGGACCUGCGUUGUAUUAGCUAGUUGGUGGGGUAACGGCUCACCAAGGCGACGAUACAUAGCCGACCUGAGAGGGUGAUCGGCCACACUGGGACUGAGAAACGGCCCAGACUCCUACGGGAGGCAGCAGUAGGGAAUCUUCGGCAAUGGACGGAAGUCUGACCGAGCAACGCCGCGUGAGUGAAGAAGGUUUUCGGAUCGUAAAGCUCUGCUGUAAGAGAAGAACGAGUGUGAGAGUGGAAAGUUCACACUGUGACGGUAUCUUACCAGAAAGGGACGGCUAACUACGUG